rnacentral:rRNA from 1 species
UGUGUAGGUGGCCAUGUAAGUCAGGUGUGAAAGCCCCGGGCUCAACCCGGGAAGUGCACUUGAUACUGCGUGGCUUGAGUACCGAAGAGGGUAGUGGAAUUCCAGGUGUAGUGGUGAAAUACGUAGAUAUCUGGAGGAACACCGGUGGCGAAGGCGGCUACCUGGUCGAGUACUGACACUGAGACACGAAAGCAUGGGGAAUCAAACA